rnacentral:rRNA from 1 species
GAUGAACGCUAGCGAUAGGCUUAACACAUGCAAGUCGAGGGACCGGCGCACGGGUGAGUAACGCGUAUACAAACUACCCAUAACUAAGGGAUAACCCAGCGAAAGUUGGACUAAUACCUUAUGGUUAUGGAUGGGGAUGCGUCUGAUUAGCUUGUUGGCGGGGAAACGGCCCACCAAGGCAACGAUCAGUAGGGGUUCUGAGAGGAAGGUCCCCCACAUUGGAACUGCAACACGGUCCAAACACCUACGGGAGGCAGCAGUGGGUAAUAUUGGUCAAUGGACGCAAGUCUGAACCAGCCAAUUAGCGUGCAGGAUGACGGCCUAUAGAUUGUAAACUGCUUUUAUAUGGGGAUAGGUACCAUAUGAAUAAGUACCGGCUAAUGCCGUGCCAGCAGCCGCGGUAAUAC